rnacentral:rRNA from 2 species
UGUGUGUUAGUGGAAGCGUCUGGAAAGGCGCGCGAUACAGGGUGACAGCCCCGUACACAAAAAUGCACAUGCUGUGAGCUCGAUGAGUAGGGCGGGACACGUGGUAUCCUGUCUGAAUAUGGGGGGACCAUCCUCCAAGGCUAAAUACUCCUGACUGACCGAUAGUGAACCAGUACCGUGAGGGAAAGGCGAAAAGAACCCCGGCGAGGGGAGUGAAAAAGAACCUGAAACCGUGUACGUACAAGCAGUGGGAGCACGCUUAGGCGUGUGACUGCGUACCUUUUGUAUAAUGGGUCAGCGACUUAUAUUCUGUAGCAAGGUUAACCGAAUAGGGGAGCCGAAGGGAAACCGAGUCUUAACUGGGCGUUAAGUUGCAGGGUAUAGACCCGAAACCCGGUGAUCUAGCCAUGGGCAGGUUGAAGGUUGGGUAACACUAACUGGAGGACCGAACCGACUAAUGUUGAAAAAUUAGCGGAUGACUUGUGGCUGGGGGUGAAAGGCCAAUCAAACCGGGAGAUAGCUGGUUCUCCCCGAAAGCUAUUUAGGUAGCGCCUCGUGAAUUCAUCUCCGGGGGUAGAGCACUGUUUCGGCAAGGGGGUCAUCCCGACUUACCAACCCGAUGCAAACUGCGAAUACCGGAGAAUGUUAUCACGGGAGACACACGGCGGGUGCUAACGUCCGUCGUGAAGAGGGAAACAACCCAGACCGCCAGCUAAGGUCCCAAAGUCAUGGUUAAGUGGGAAACGAUGUGGGAAGGCCCAGACAGCCAGGAUGUUGGCUUAGAAGCAGCCAUCAUUUAAAGAAAGCGUAAUAGCUCACUGGUCGAGUCGGCCUGCGCGGAAGAUGUAACGGGGCUAAACCAUGCACCGAAGCUGCGGCAGCGACGCUUAUGCGUUGUUGGGUAGGGGAGCGUUCUGUAAGCCUGUGAAGGUGUACUGUGAGG